ensembl:lncRNA
GUAGCCUAGUGGUUAGAGUGUAGGGACGGCAGGUAGCCUAGUGGUUAGAGUGUAGGGACGGCAGGUAGCCUAGUGGUUAGAGUGUAGGGACGGCAGGUAGCCUAGUGGUUAGAGUGGAGGGGCGGCAGGGUAGCCUAGUGGUUAGAGUGGAGGGGCGGCAGGGUAGCCUAGUGGUUAGAGUGGAGGGGCGGCAGGUAGCCUAGUGGUUAGAGUGGAGGGGCGGCAGGUAGCCUAGUGGUUAGAGUGGAGGGGCGGCAGGUAGCCUAGUGGUUAGAGUGGAGGGGCGGCAGGGUAGCCUAGUGGUUAGAGUGGAGGGGCGGCAGGGUAGCCUAGUGGUUAGAGUGGAGGGGCGGCAGGGUAGCCUAGUGGUUAGAGUGGAGGGGCGGCAGGGUAGCCUAGUGGUUAGAGUGGAGGGGCGGCAGGGUAGCCUAGUGGUUAGAGCGUUGGACUAGUAACCGGAAGGUUGCAAGUACAAAUCCCCGAGCUGACAAGGUACAAAUCUGUCGUUCUGCCCCUGAACAGGCAGUUAACCCACAGUUCCUAGGC